ensembl:lncRNA
CAACAGUUUAUUAAUCGAACAGGGUCAGGCAAAAGGCAGGUCAAGGGCAGGCAGAGGUCAGUAAUCCACAUAGUAAAGGUACAGUACGGCAGGCAGUCUCUUGGUCAGGGUGGUCAACAUGGGAAAACUAGGAAACAGGAACAAUCGAGAGACAGGAGCAGAGGGAAAACCCGCUGGUAGUCUUGACAAAACAAAACGAACUGGCAACAGACAAACAAACAGAGAACACAGGUAUAAAUACACAGGGGAUAAUGGGGAAGAUGGGCAACACCUGGAGGGAGGUGGAGACAAUCACAAAGACAGGUGAAACAGAUCAGGGUGUGACAGAUAUAGGGGCAAUGCCUACUGUACAUUACAUUAUGGCUGCACAUGGACACUCCAAACAUUGUCAAUAAGCAAGAUUCUAAUCAAAUUAAAACUAUUUGUUUUAAAAAUAGGCUGUGUCACACUUACAGGCACCAUCAUUUCUCCCCGUGGCCAUGUAAUAUUAAAACAACGCAGACUAUGGACGUCCGUACUUUCCACAGUAGCAGGACAAAGAUCCAACAUAAAGAGAAUGGGAGAAUGUCCACAGUUAUACUGCUCCCCAAUAGGCCUGUUUUAUAAACAUAAUCAGAACCACAGAUCAGAUCACAUUCAAACAUCUCCAGAAGUUGCAUUGCAUUGUGCGCCACAGACGUUGUAACCAUAAAACCAGAAAGGUGAAUCAUUCUAUAUUGAACUAGAAAUAUAAACGCAACAUGUAAAUGUUUUGCUCGUAUGUUUUCAUGAGCUGAAAUAAACGAUCCCAAAAAAUGUUCCAUACACACAAAAAAGCUUAGGUUACAGUGUUGUAAAGUACUUCAUUAAAAACACUUUAAAAAGUACUACUUAAAUGUUUUUUUGGGGUAUCUGUACUUUACUAAUUAUAUGUUUGACAAUUUUUACUUUACUGCAUUCCUAAAAAAAUAAAUGUACUUUUUACUCCAUCCAUUUUCGCUGACACCCAAAAAGUACUUGUUACAUUUUGAAUGCUUGGCAGGAAAAGAGGAAAUGGUGCAAUUCACACACUUAUCGAGAGAACAUCCCUGGUCAUCCCUGCUGCCUCUGAUCUGGAGGACUCACUAAACAGAGAACAUCCCUGGUCAUCCCUACU